rnacentral:rRNA from 1 species
CCUACGGGUGGCAGCAGUGGGGAAUCUUGCGCAAUGGGCGAAAGCCUGACGCAGCGACGCCGCGUGAGGGAUGAAGGUCUUCGGAUCGUAAACCUCUGUCAGCAGGGAAGAACGGUCACUGUGCUAAUCAGCAGUGACUUGACGGUACCUGCAACGGAAGCACCGGCUAACUCCGUGCCAGCAGCCGCGGUAAUACGGAGGGUGCGAGCGUUAAUCGGAAUUCCUGGGCGUAAAGCGCUCGUAGGCGGUAUGGCAAGUCAAGGGGGAAAUCCCCGCGCGUAACGGAGGGACUGCCUUUGAAACUGGCAAACUGGAGUGUGUGAGAGGAUAGUGGAAUUCCAGGUGUAGGAGUGAAAUCCGUAGAUAUCUGGAGGAACAUCAGUGGCGAAGGCGACUAUCUGGCACAUAACUGACGCUGAGGAGCGAAAGCGUGGGUAGCAAACAGGAUUAGAUACCCCAGUAGUC